UACUGAAAGUUAGAAGUGUACAACAGAUGUACAUGUACGUACGUGGUCAUAAUCAAAUAGAAGCAUUUCCCACAAAGUACAGUUACGAAGCUUUAACAUCAAAUCUGCCACUUUCAAAACUAAUAACUUAUUUGUUGUGUAGAGGCUAUCUAAUGCUGUAAACGCAUUAUUGUCCAUCUUAAUUAUUAAUUAUGCCUUGGUUUUUAUACUGUACAGUAGGUGUACGUGUGUGUGUGUGAGGUCAAGGUUCAUUCAUUUUGCCAAUUGGCUCAGCUUCAUUGUACAUGUCCUAAACACGAUGAUUACCAGUUGUUGUUGUUCUUCCCACGCCCAGUUGAGCGUCGGCGUCGGGACAGGAUCAACGAGCUCAUCAAGGUACUGGCUCAGAUAGUGCCUGCUUGUCAGAAGAAAGACGCAACUGCUGGUUCCAUUGUCGGGUAUGUGUACAGCAAGGGAACGGUACUGGACAAGACAGUGGACUACUUGAAAGAGCUCGUGUUUCAAAACGAACAACUCACAGCCAGUGCCAAAAUCGCAGAGAAAUCAACCAAAGCUUUGAACCAAAUCCUAGUCCUAGAGAAAGAGAACGCAUUUCUUCGAGCACAGAUUAUCCAGUUCGGAAUCGAUGGAGCUGCCUCCUCUGGUCAGAAGCAACCUAACCAGCAACUUCUAAACUCUCCUCUGGCCAGAAUCUCUCCUUCACUUACUAUAGCUACAUUGUCAGUAUUAUUAUGUAUACAUAGUUUUUAUACAUGAUAUUUGUGUUAUUGAACCCGAGCAUAAUAAAUUUAGAAAAAAUGUUGUGAACAUAGCUACGCCCAUUAUAAUUAUGUGCAGUCUAGCCUCCAUCUCAAGCCGCACUUCCUAGAAAGUUGGCCUGGUAGUAUAGACUGCUUGGGCAUGCGCUAACCAUUAGCUACUGAACAUGAAACUGCUGAUGAUGAACCUUUAUCGAGAACAAGGACACUGCCGAGGGUAGCACUUCAGUGCUCUAGUUCUAAUUGUAGAUUGACUGAUCGAUUUGUCUUCUGUACUAUUGUUUGAUUUUUCCGCCCCUCAUCUUUUCCGGCCUCCACUUAUGCGGCCAUUUUGCAGCCCGGCCAAGUGUUGAGGAGACAAGAAGAGGCACUGAGAAUGGAGGUAGAGGUACAGAGUACAUUAGCUGGAAAAUGCAUUUGUGUCAUACUUUGUAGAGUCCCUUAAAGUCAUUCAAGGUCAGCUAUAGUGUGUCCUAUUUGAAGGUGUGCAAUGUACAAUCAUGUACGACCCCCCCC